AGCAUAUCAAUAAGCGGAGGAAAAGAAACUAACAAGGAUUCCCCUAGUAACGGCGAGUGAAGCGGGAAAAGCUCAAAUUUGUAAUCUGGCGCCUUCGGCGUCCGAGUUGUAAUCUCGAGAAGUAUUUUCCGCGCUGGACCGCACAUAAGUCUGUUGGAAUACAGCGUCAUAGUGGUGAGAACCCCGUAUAUGGUGCGGAUGCCCAGUGCUUUGUGAUAUACUUUCGAAGAGUCGAGUUGUUUGGGAAUGCAGCUCAAAUGGGGUGGUAAAUUCCAUCUAAAGCUAAAUAUUGGCGAGAGACCGAUAGCGAACAAGUACCGUGAGGGAAAGAUGAAAAGCACUUUGGAAAGAGAGUUAACAGUACGUGAAAUUGUUGGAAGGGAAACGCUUGAAGUCAGACUUGCAUUUUGGAGUUCAGCCGCAAGGUGUAUUCUUCAAUUCGCAGGCCAGCAUCAGUUUUCGGGGGUGGAAAAUCGCGGUUUGAAGGUAGCAGUCUCGGCUGUGUUAUAGCUUUCCGCUGGAUUCACUUUUGGGGACUGAGGAACGCAGUACGCUUUUUGCAAGAUUCUAGAGUCUUUCGUACUUAGGAUGCUGGUGGAAUGGCUUUAAACGACCCGUCUUGAAACACGGACCA
rnacentral:rRNA from 1 species